CAGCGGAGCAUGUGGUUUAAUUCGACGCAACGCGAAGAACCUUACCUGGGCUUGACAUGUAGGUGACAGCCGUGGAAACAGUCCCCACCUACAGGUGUGACGAGCGCAACCCCUGUCACAUGUUGCCAGCGGGAUGUCAAGUAUCAUGCCCCUUAUGUCCAGGCUACAUACAUGGCCGGUACAAGGGCAGCGAUACCGCGAGGUGGAGCGUCCCAAAAAGCCGGUCUCGGUUCGGAUUGGAGUGAAACUCGCCUCCAUGAAGGCGGAGUUGCUAGUAAUCCGAAUCAGCAACGUCGGGGUGAAUACGUUCCCGGGUCUUGUACACACCGCCGUCACACCACGAAAGCGGGCAGCACCCGAAGCCGGUGACCCAACCCUCGGGGAAGGAGCCCUCUAA
rnacentral:rRNA from 1 species